ensembl:lncRNA
AUGAUCAUCUGUGAUCUCCCCUGCUCCCCAUCCCUGUCACCUCUCCAUCUAAUCUGUCAGUCUCUCAUAGAUCGUCAGAAGUCUGCUGCCACAGUGCCGCCAGUCUCCUCACAGCUAAGGUGGGAGAAGGCCUCCCAAGUCAGCAGGCGUAGCAUUGUGUCGGCUAUCCGGGAGUACCGAGCUCACUGCCCCCUGAGCAGCUACAGCAGCAGCCCCCCACGAGUGCCUCUCCUUUGGCUCGCCCAGCCGCCUUGUUCCCCAGGUCCUCUAUAACCCUGGAACUACUGACCUCUAACCCCAUCACAGGACUCUGCGGAGCAGAGCCAGAGCAGUGCCUCUCACUGAAGGAAGAGAAGGACGACACUCACCAAGACUUAUAACAGACUGUCUGACUUGAGGGUCUGUGGGAGAAAAGAGCGACAUGCAGCCAUCUUUACUACCGCGCUAGCAACUAGUCAUUAUUCAUCAUGUAUUUGUCUAUGGUGUUUUGGGGGUUGUUGAAACAUACUUUUAUGUUACGACCAGGGAUGAUAAUUUUGUUGGGUUCAAGAGGUGGACAAUUGUUGGGUUUUGCUGAAUGUAUAGCUAGCUGUACAAUCAUUAAUGGUACCAUACAGUAUGUAGUGAACGCCAAGGGGGCAGAGGACAAAGCCAUAACUGUGUAUUUGAAAUGCAUGUAAAAAGGUAUUAGCUUUUCGCAAACCCAGAAUGUUUGAGUCCUUUUCUGCUCUUUUUGGAUUGGAUUCAUUGCUUGUCCCCACCCCUCACCAAGAUCGUAGCUUGUUUUUUAUAUUCUACGGAAUUUCUUUAAAAUGCACUUUGCUCACACACACACCCUGCGGUGUGUAUAUAUAAAUGUUUCUAUUGCACUUUGAAUGUGUUUUACAGGAUAAGAGAUUUCCAAACAUUGUAAAAGCUGACAGUGUACCGUUUGUACCGUUAUCAUCCUUCCUUGGUUCUACAGUAUCUAUGUUGAAACAUCAUCUACGUCCCAAAUGACACCAUAUUCCCCAAAGUAGUGCACUACAUAGGGAAUAGGGUGCCAUUUGGAAAGUACUCUUGGUCAACCUGUUUCUCUGAAGGAAUCAAUCAACCUCCUGAUUUACAAGCACAAACUGACCAAUGCAUUCCAAUACUAGUUGUGAUCGACUGUUAACCCCCACUGGGUUAAAUAAUGAUGUUGAAUGUAGAUCUCUAUCCAAGAUUGCCUCUUGUUUUCUACAUCCUGUGUAUGGAAGUAACCAUGCUGGAUCGGCGUGUAGACAGAUUUUGCUAUAGAAUAGUAGUACUAGUAGCACUGUAGUUGUAGUAAUAGUAGAGGUAGUUGGCAGUUUAUGCUGUACUGUAUUCAACCAUGAUGCUAUGUAUGCUAGCCUAGAAAUACCAAUUUGGAGCGUUUCUCAAACCACCACCCAGCAACUUUUAACCAUCUAUAUAACACGUCCAGUCACAGCUCAGAGGCGUGGCAAUGGGAUGAAUUCACACACCUCAACCUGGCUUUAGGCUGAACAUUCUAUUUCUACAGGAUCUCUGACCAGACCUGUGGUUGCUAACUACAGUAAGGUUUCAAAAACGUUGGGUUUUGUCAUCCUUUUGUGUUAUUCUGGUAAAUGCUGUCCUUUCUGCUCCGUUCCCUACAUCUAUUGCAACUGGAAGCCAUGUAACAAACUGCCAAAGACCGCACUAGGCUUCUCAGACAUCAUAUGAAGCAGAUGAAGGAGAGGGGAGCAGUUUUGUGUAACCAGCCAGAGACUGUAUUAACCCACAGAGCUAAAACCCUAGGCAUUAGUUUGGGAGAGCAAACUGGCUUUGGAGCCCAAGGGCGAGAGUACGGGAAAUGGGAUGUCUAGUCAGUUUCACAAUUGAACGCGUUCAAACGACAUUUGUCUCCCGCAUCUGUUUAGCGGAUGGCACAGUUAGCAGUCACAAUGUCUCCUCAAUAAUGAGGAUAUCAGGAGUAUUCUGUAUGUUGUAACACUGUGGUUCGCUCUGUCUAUUUUCCCCCACCAUAUGUAUUGCUCAUGUAUAUGAAGGUUUCUUUAAACUUAUCAGAUGGUUCACAGACCAUUGAAGUUGUACAUAGGCCAACUGGACAUACAGUAAGCUAUGGAGAAAAUGAUGAAUGUUACUAGCUACUUUUCCUAGACCUGGAGAGUGUAUAGUAGACGGGGCACAAAGAUGAAGCACUGAACGUGGUUUGCACAAUAUCAACACUACUCGACAACUCGAUAAAAAACAUUAUAGACAUUCAGACAGCAAUAUAUAAUUGUAUGGUAUCUUCAAAUCAUUUUUAUUGCAUAUUAAACCAUGUAAAUCCUACAUUUCAAAAUACAAUAAAUUCCCCCUAAUCUUAUAGGGGACUGCUAAACAUUUGUGUAUCUUUUUGUAAAACUUUACCAUAAACACCUUUCGCAAAAUGGCCUACAGUAUUGGGAGUUCCCUCUACAGAAGGCUCUCAGUGGGCGGAGGGUUUAUAAAACGGGGGCGGUUUUGUGCAGUUGUUUAAGAUCUAUCGGGAUUCGAUUCUACUGAUGGAGAUUCAUGGCAUGUGGAAAUCGGUAUUGGACUUUUGGAAUUUGGUACGCUUAUUUAUGUUUUUGUUGGAGGAGCAGCUCGGUAAUUACCUGCGUAAAGCCCUCCGGCGUUCGUAGACUACACGCCUCGAAUACGAUCAUUAUUCACGCUCAAGGGAACAAUAAGUGGUAUAAAAGUUA